GAUGAACGCUGGCGGCGUGCCUAAUACAUGCAAGUCGAGCGAACAGAUGAGGAGCUUGCUCCUCUGACGUUAGCGGCGGACGGGUGAGUAACACGUGGAUAACCUACCUAUAAGACUGGGAUAACUUCGGGAAACCGGAGCUAAUACCGGAUAAUAUAUUGAACCGCAUGGUUCAAUAGUGAAAGACGGUUUUGCUGUCACUUAUAGAUGGAUCCGCGCCGCAUUAGCUAGUUGGUAAGGUAACGGCUUACCAAGGCAACGAUGCGUAGCCGACCUGAGAGGGUGAUCGGCCACACUGGAACUGAGACACGGUCCAGACUCCUACGGGAGGCAGCAGUAGGGAAUCUUCCGCAAUGGCGAAAGCUUGACGGAGCAACGCCGCGUGAGUGAUGAAGGUCUUCGGAUCGUAAAACUCUGUUAUUAGGGAAGAACAAAUGUGUAAGUAACUAUGCACGUCUUGACGGUACCUAAUCAGAAAGCCACGGCUAACUACGUG
rnacentral:rRNA from 1 species